rnacentral:rRNA from 1 species
AUUGAACGCUGGCGGCAUGCUUUACACAUGCAAGUCGAGCGGCAGCACGGGCUUCUUCCUCGCGUCAAGUUGCGAACGGGCGGGUAAGUCAUCCGAACGUGACCAAUAGUUUGGAAUAGGCCAACUAAAGCCGGAUUAAGACAGCAUACGACAUGAGGUUGAAAGGGGGGGACCAAAAGUGCACGCGCGAUUUGAGCUGCCGAUGUCGUAUUAGCUAGUUGGUUGGGUAAAGGCUUACCAAGGCGACGAUCCGUAGCUGGUCUGAGAGGACGACCAGCCACACUGGGACUGAGACACGGCCCAGACUCCUACGGGAGGCAGCAGUGGGGAAUUUUGGACAAUGGGCGCAACCCUGAUCCAGCCAUGCCGCGUGCGGGAAGAAGGUCUUCGGGUUGUAAAACGCUUUUGUUAGGGAAGAACUCAUCUGUGAUAAUCUACCGGGGGGAUGACGGUACCGGAUCAAUAAGCAACGGCUAACUACGUG